rnacentral:rRNA from 1 species
AACGAACGCUGACGGCAUGCCUAACACAUGCAAGUCGAACGAGACCUUCGGGUCUAGUGGCACACGGGUGCGUAACGCGUGGGAAUCUGCCCUUGGGUUCGGAAUAACAGUUAGAAAUGACUGCUAAUACCGGAUAAUGACGUAAGUCCAAAGAUUUAUCGCCCAAGGAUGAGCCCGCGUAGGAUUAGCUUGUUGGUGAGGUAAAGGCUCACCAAGGCGACGAUCCUUAGCUGGUCUGAGAGGAUGAUCAGCCACACUGGGACUGAGACACGGCCCAGACUCCUACGGGAGGCAGCAGUGGGGAAUAUUGGACAAUGGGCGAAAGCCUGAUCCAGCAAUGCCGCGUGAGUGAUGAAGGCCUUAGGGUCGUAAAGCUCUUUUACCCGGGAUGAUAAUGACAGUACCGGGAGAAUAAGCCCCGGCUAACUCCGUGCCAGCAGCCGCUGUAACAC